rnacentral:tRNA from 1 species
GCGCGGGUGGUGAAAUGGGAAACACGCUACCCUAAGGAGGUAGUGCCGCAAGGCAUGGAGGUUCGACUCCUCUCCCGCGCA